rnacentral:rRNA from 1 species
GACAGAGGGUGCAAACGUUGUUCGGAAUCACUGGGCGUAAAGCGCGUGUAGGCGGCAAUGCAAGUCGGAUGUGAAAUCCCCGCGGCUCAACCGUGGAAGUGCACCCGAAACUGCAUAGCUAGAGUGUCGGAGAGGAAGGUGGAAUGCUUGGUGUAGAGGUGAAAUUCGUAGAUAUCAAGCGGAACACCGGUGGCGAAGGCGGCCUUCUGGACGGCGACUGACGCUGAGACGCGAAAGCGUGGGUAGCAAACAGG